rnacentral:misc_RNA from 1 species
UGAUGGAAGAUAUGAGUGAA